rnacentral:rRNA from 1 species
GACGAACGCUGGCGGCGUGCCUAAUACAUGCAAGUAGGACGCAGUUGCGAACGGGUGAGUAACGCGUAGGUAACUGCCUAUUAGAGGGGGCUAACUAUUGGAAACGAUAGCUAAUACCGCAUACUAGUAGAUGGACCUGCGUUGUAUUAGCUAGUAGGUAGGGUAAUGGCCUACCUAGGCAACGAUCCAUAUCCGAACUGAAGGGGACAUCGGCCACACCGGGACUGAGACACGUCCACGAUCCCUACGGUAGGCAGGAGUAGCGACACUUCGGAAAUGGGGGGAACCCUCACCGAGCAACGCCGCGUUAGUUAAGAAGGUUAUCGGAUCGUAAAGCCCUGUUGUUAACGAAGCGGUACUUAACAAGAAAGGGACGGCUAACUACGUGCCAGCAGCCGCGGUAAUAC